rnacentral:rRNA from 1 species
AACAACGCUGGCGGCAGGGCCUAACACAUGCAAGUCGAGCGCGAAAGGUAGCAGCAAUAUCGAGUACGGCGGCGCACGGGUGAGUAACACGUGGGAAUCGUGCCCUUUGAGUUCGGGAAUAACUCACCGGGAAACGUUGAGCUAAUACCGGAUAAUGAUGGCUCUAGCGGAUGAUCAGCAAAGGAGCAAUUAUCGCCAUUUGAGAGGCGGCCCCGCGUGCCUGAUUAGCAGUUGGUGAGGGUAAAUGGCUCACCAAGGCCGACGAUCAGUAGCUGGUCUGAGAGGACGACUCAGGCCACACUGGGAACUGAGACACGGUCCCAGACUCCUACGGGAGGCAGCAGUGGGGAAUCUUUGGACAAUGGGGGAAACCCUGAUCCGAAGCCAUGCCGCGUGGAGUGAUGAAGUCCUCUAGGGGACUGUAAAACUCUUUCGGACGGGGACGAACGCAAGGUGACGGUACCCGCUAGAAGAAGCUCCGGCUAACUUCCGUGCCAGCAGCCGCGGUAAUACGAGGGGGGCUAGCGUUGUUCGGAAUUACUGGGCGUAAAGCGCGCGCCAGGCGGUCCUUCAAGUCAGAGGGUGAAAGCCCAGAGCUCAACUCUGGAAUGGCCUUUGAGACUAGAGGACUUGGGUACGGGAGAGGUGAGUGGAAUUCCGAGUGUAGAGGUGAAAUGCGUAGAUAUCUGGAGGAACACCGGUGGGCGAAGGCGGCAUCCUGGACCAACACUGACGCUGAGGAGCGAAGCCAGGGGAGCAAACGGGAUUAGAUACCCCGGUAGUCCUGGCCCCUAAACGAUGAAUGCUUGGUGUGGCGGGUAUCGAUCCCUGCCGUGCCGAAGCUAACGCAUUAAGCAUUCCGCCUGGGGAGUACGGUCGCAAGGCUGAAACUCAAAGGAAUUGACGGGGGCCCGCACAAGCGGUGGAGCAUGUGGUUUCAAUUCGACGCAACGCGAAGAACCUUACCCAGGCUUGAACAGCGAGCGACCAUCUCCGAAAGGGGACUUCCGCAAGGACACUCGUAGAGGUGCUGCAUGGCUGUCGUCAGCUCGUGUCGUGAGAUGUUGGGUUAAGUUCCCCGCAACGAGCGCAAACCCUUGUUUGCUGUUGCCAUCACGUUAUGGUGGGCACUCUGCAAAGACUGCCGGUGAUAAACCGGAGGAAAGGUGGGGGAUGACGUCAAGUCAGCAUGGCCUUUAUGUCUGGGGGCUACACACGUGCUACAAUGGCCGGUACAAACCGUCGCGAUACCGUAAGGUGGAGCUAAUCGGAGAAAGCCGGCCUCAGUUCGGAUCGUAGGCUGCAACUCGCCUGCGUGAAGUUGGAAUCGCUAGUAAUCGCGGAUCAGCACGCCGCGGUGAAUACGUUCCCGGGCCUUGUACACACCGCCCGUCACAUCACGAAAGCCGGUUGUACUAGAAGUCGCCACACCAACCCGCAAGGGAGGGAGGCGCCUAAGGUAUGGUCGGUGAUUGGGGUG